rnacentral:rRNA from 1 species
UGGGUGAUCUACCUCUGGGUGGGGAAUAACCCUGGGAAACCGGGGCUAAUACCGCAUAACACUGUAAGGUCAAAGGCGCAAGUCGCCUGGAGAGGAGCCCGCGGCUGAUUAGCUAGUUGGUGAGGUAAAGGCUCACCAAGGCAAUGAUCGGUAGCCGGCCUGAGAGGGCACACGGCCACACUGGCACUGAAACACGGGCCAGACUCCUACGGGAGGCAG